rnacentral:lncRNA from 1 species
CCAACAAUGUCACCCAUCUACCCCAACAAUGUCACCCAUUGGGUGUCCCCAGCAGUGUCACCCAUUGUCCCCAACCAUGUCACCCACUGUCCCCAACCAUGUCACCCAUUGUCCCCAACAGCGUCACCCAUUGUCCCCAACCAUGUCACCCAUUGUCCCCAACA